GUGAGGAAUAUUGGUCAAUGGUCGGAAGACUGAACCAGCCAUGCCGCGUGCAGGAAGACGGUCCUAUGGAUUGUAAACUGCUUUUAUUCGGGGAUAAACCUCCUUACGUGUAGGGAGCUGAAGGUACCGAAAGAAUAAGCACCGGCUAACUCCGUGCCAGCAGCCGCGGUAAUAUGGAGGGUGCAAGCGUUAUCCGGAAUCAUUGGGUUUAAAGGGUCCGCAGGCGGGAUUGUAAGUCAGUGGUGAAAUCCGGCAGCUCAACUGUCGCACUGCCAUUGAUACUGCAGUCCUUGAAUUCGAUUGGAGUGGGCGGAAUAUGUCAUGUAGCGGUGAAAUGCUUAGAUAUGACAUAGAACACCGAUAGCGAAGGCAGCUCACUAAGUCUGAAUUGACGCUCAUGGACGAAAGCGCGGGUAGCAAACAGGAUUAGAAACCCUAGUAGUCC
rnacentral:rRNA from 1 species